rnacentral:rRNA from 1 species
GAAAUGCGAUAACUAAUGUGAAUUGCAGAAUUCAGUGAAUCAUCGAAUCUUUGAACGCACCUUGCGCUCCUUGGUAUUCCGAGGAGCAUGCCUGUUUGAGUGUCAUGAAAUUCUCAACCUUUCUAGCUUUUUGUGAGCUUUAGUAAGGCUUGGAUUAUGGAGGCUGCUGGAUCUUUAUAGAUUCGGCUCCUCUGAAAUAUAUUAGCUCGACCUUUGCUGAUGUGUCUUUGGUAUGAUAAUUUAUCUAUACUAUAGAUAUUUGGCUCCUCCACUAGAGGAAGGUUGGCUUCUAAUCGUCUUUGGACAAUAUUUGACCAUUUUGACCUCAAAUCAGGUAGGACUACCCGCUGAACUUAA